GUUGCUCGGACUCUCCAAAAAUGUUGCCAAACCCGUGUCUGAUCCUUCAAAAAUACAUUAUUUUUGUAGGACACCUAUGGACCUUUUUGAAGAGUUCGAGCAAC